CAUCACCCACCUUUUCUCCCCUACGCCCACCCCAACCCACCACCUCCCAGCAUCGCCGACGACCACCUCCCGGCGCGCGGCCAACAACCACCUCCUGGCGCACGGCCGACCACCACCUACCGGCGCGCCACCCAGCCACCACCUCCCUCCGCGCCGCCCGACCACCACCUCCCAUCUCCCGCCAAUGCCUGAUCCCCAGCCCCACCCCCGGCGCCGCUCGCCGCCAACCGCGGGAUCCGAGAUGGCAACGACAUACUGACAAGUUGCCCGCCGCCCCCCCGACCGUCCUUCUUCCAGAGGCCCGUCGAGGCGCCCCCACAACAAGCUCUCCCUGUCACCUCCCUCCGGCGCCGGCCGCCCUCUAACUAUGCCACCACGGGUCCGACCACGCGCCGCCUCCGACGAGCCAUGGCUGCCGCGCACCUCCUACGCCCUUCCACACGGCAGGGGCGCCCAGCAAGCUUCCCUCUGCCAUCGUGCCUCGCGGCCGGCGCGACCCGUCCCCCACAGCCGGAUUCGUCCGUAUCGGCCCCGUACGCAGCUGCGGGCACUGCGUGGCGGCCGUCCAUGCUCCUACCCUCGGUGUUAGCUCAAUCCAUCCAUCCCCCUGCCGGAUCCAUCCACCCUCUUGCUGGAUCCGAGCCUCCUCACCGGCGUUAGCAUAUGGGGCAGGCGAGCCCAAGCCACGUCGCCGUGCGGGUGGCCGCAACCAACGGCUGGCCCUGCCUCCGUAUACAGCCGCCGCCAACACCCUUCCCUCUGACUACUAGGUCGUGCAGUUCGGCCGGUGAGUCCGUGCAGCUUGCCGACGACGGAACUGCAGCUCGGCCGACAAGCGCGGGGUUCUCUGUGACAUCCAUGGCGUUGGCUGCGCUUCUACGGUGCGGCUGGAUGUCCACCGGCGAGCAUGCUUGCCGUCCGGUGGCGCGAAUCUUGUGGUCGGAUGUGCAAUGACCAAAAUAACACGGUUGGGUCACCGGUGUAGUAAGCAGGCGCGUGAGAGGACGACGGGUGUGUAGUUUGGUUUCGGUUUUGCAGUGAAGUUUUAAUGCAGUUCAUUUUUUAUUUUGCAUUUUGAAUGACACUUCCCUCGAUUGUGAAUGACACUCGUCUCCAGUA